UGAGCAAUCUGCCCUUCUCAUCGGAAUAAGCGUUGGAAACGACGUCUAAUGCCGAAUACGACCUCCUUUCGCAUGAUCGGAGGUGGAAAGCUCCGGCGGAGAAGGAUGAGCUCGCGGCCUAUCAGCUUGUUGGUGAGGUAAUAGCUCACCAAGGCGACGACAGGUAGCCGGCCUGAGAGGGUGACCGGCCACACUGGGACUGAGACACGGCCCAGACCUCUACGGGGGG
rnacentral:rRNA from 1 species